UAGUUUACAUAUAAAUUAUAAUAGUUUACAUAUAAAUUAUAAAAUUAUGAUAGUUUAUAUAUAAUUAUGAUAGUUUACAUAUAAAUUGUGAAAUUACGAUAGUUUACAUAUAAAUUAUGAUAGUUAACAUAUAAAUUAUGAUAGUUAAUUAUGAUAGUUUACAUAUAAAUUAUGAUAGUUUACAUAUAAAUUAUGAUAGUUUACAUAUAGUUUACAUAUAAAUUAUGAUAGUUUACAUAUAGUUUACAUAUAAAUUAUGAAAUUACGGUAGUUUACUAUCUACAUAUAAAUGAUAUAUUUCAUAUUUGUUUUAAUAGCUUUCAUUAUAUAAGCUUUCUUUAUACAAUGAUUCAUGUCAUUUUUGUAUUUGUUUAUAUAUUUAUAUGAAGGCCUCUUAUCCAAAACAUGAUAAACACUCUUCCAUUUUUGGUGAAAAAACAUCCCAAAGAAAGUAUUGAAAUAGUACAGGGUAUAAUUUUUUAUUAACAAAAAAGCAUUUCUUAUUUUGCAGAGAAACAGAGUUUUCUCUAAAAAUAUGAAAAACAAGCAAUAUCUGUAGUAUGAGUUUCUUUGAUUAAUUAUUGGUCUGACCAAAUUCAGACCUUUUUUAAAUUGGAGGGGGGUUGAAUGGCCGAAUGGUUAGCACGUUCGUGCUUUAUCAUAAGACCUGUCAUUGAGUCAACUGGCAUGGUUUCGAAUCCCCGGUUGUACACGACAAGGGGUAGGGUUGCCUGUCCAACCUCGUGGGUUUUCUCCGGGUCCUCCGGUUUCCUCCCACUGCUAAAGACCCCUACGCGCAAGCGAAUUAUAGAAAUAAAAUUAAACCAUAUGUUAGUCCCGAAAUGACCUAGUUUGUGUUGAGUGGACGUUAAACCCCAUUUCUCUCUCUCUUUUUAAAUUAGCAGUUGUGAUACUGGUUGGCUCCAUUGGCUAGAUCUGAUAUUUGCAAUUGAAUUUUAUCUGUCAAUCAAUGAAAAAAAAUGCAUCCUUCACAUAUACUAUAUAUAAGGCCCCUGAAUUUAUUAUUUGUUUGCGAUAUCAACCUAUGUGGAAGUGGACCUAAAACUCCAGGAAAGAACCAAUGAUUAUAUAGACACAAAAGGAAUUGUCAAGGAAAGGAAUGAAUGGUGUUUAUCAUGUCUUGUAAAAAUACUCUUGUAUGGUUGGUUUAACUGCUAGAUGUGUUUCUAGAUACUGUGUAAAAGUACACUUGUAUUAUAACAAGUUUAACUGCUAGAUGUGUUUCUAGAUACUGUGUGUUGUUAAUUUAUAUAAAAUAUAUAUUAAAUAAAAUCAUGUUAAGUUUUUAAAAGAGGUUACGGUUUACCUUGAUCUGAAUUUCUAAUAUUGGCAUGCUCUUAUUCAUUCCAAAUAAAACCAUUUGAAAAUAA